UACGGCCACCUCAGGUUGAAAUGCUAGUUCCUGUACGAUCACUGAAGUUAAGCAACACUGAGCUUGAUCAGUGCCUAGAUGGGUGACUGCUUGAGAAUGCCAUGUGCUGUA